AUAAAAAUAGUUUAAUUUAAAAUAUUGGUUUGUGGAGUCAAAGAUUUAUUAUUUAAUUUUUAUU
rnacentral:tRNA from 1 species